rnacentral:rRNA from 1 species
AUUGAACGCUGGCGGCAGGCCUAACACAUGCAAGUCGAGCGGAUGAAGGGAGCUUGCUCCUGGAUUCAGCGGCGGACGGGUGAGUAAUGCCUAGGAAUCUGCCUGGUAGUGGGGGAUAACGUCCGGAAACGGGCGCUAAUACCGCAUACGUCCUGCGGGAGAAAGUGGGGGAUCUUCGGACCUCACGCUAUCAGAUGAGCCUAGGUCGGAUUAGCUAGUUGGUGGGGUAAAGGCCUACCAAGGCGACGAUCCGUAACUGGUCUGAGAGGAUGAUCAGUCACACUGGAACUGAGACACGGUCCAGACUCCUACGGGAGGCAGCAGUGGGGAAUAUUGGACAAUGGGCGAAAGCCUGAUCCAGCCAUGCCGCGUGUGUGAAGAAGGUCUUCGGAUUGUAAAGCACUUUAAGUGGGGAGGAAGGGCAGUAAGUUAAUACCUUGCUGUUUUGACGUUACCAACAGAAUAAGCACCGGCUAACUUCGUG